GGGAUGUUAUUUCUGGUAACAAUCUUUUCUGUUUAAGCUACUGAUGACAAUAUGCAGCGAGUUAAACAAUUUCUUUGUGAGUUGAUGCAGAUGCGCUCGAAUAUUGAGCAAGAGAUGAAUAAAUUGCGACACUCCCGAGAAUCUUUGGAAAGUACUGGAAGAAGAUAUAAAAUGUUGCAAUGAUUUUAUUAAGACUCGCGUGAGGAAUAUUGUAAACGUUUAAAUGCAUUCAGUGCAGAAGUUACGCGGUGUGAAUCCCUGCGCAAAACAAAUCUUUAAAUUCAUAUUAAAACUUCGUUGUGAGAUAAACGUGUUAUAGAAUAAAGCAAGAUGUUCCGACGCAAGGCGUGCAGAAUUUGCGGUGUACAUGGGAAACAACAUGUGUACUGAAGAUUUACUCACUUUACACGACAUAGAAAACGAUAGAGAGGAAGCAUGUCUGCGACACAAUUAGCAACUAAUUGAGCUUAUGAAGCUUAGAAAAGUGCGCUAGCAGUUGCUAAAAGAAGAAAAGGAAAAAGAAAAUCUCUUGCAUCGAGGACGAACAACUUAAUCUGGCUAUCGAAUACGAUGGGAAACACGACAUGAAGUUUAUGUACUUGAAAGGGAGUAUUGAGGAAAUAAAUGGAAAGUCACGUUAAGUUUUUGUCCAGGGGAAAAAAUGCGGAGCCAAAUCUAGGAAAAUAAAAAUGAGAUCUUACGAUGAGCGCCAAUAAUAUAGUGGGUGCGAAUAUUUUCGUCUAUAUAAAGUCAUCGCUGUUUUAUUACUUUUGUAGGACGAGAACCAAAAACAGCACCAGUACGAAAUGUACUAAUCGGAAGAUGAUUAAUCAACAAAGCUAUAAUACAUUUAUCAACUUCUAAAAAGAAACGCACAAAACACGAAUUAUCGUCCCAAAGUGAAAAUCGUUACAGCAAAUUAGAAGGGUAGUGCGUCAACUUUCCAUAAAAAAAUUAUUAUCUGUCAAUACUUGUUUCUUCAAGACUUCUCAAAAAAUCGUAUUUAUCAAACAAUUAAAAUAAUUCCGGUUUCUUCUAGACAUAUCUUAAUUAAAUGUCCCCAUUUACAACUCUCUAUUCUCCUCCUAAAACACCCAGUAUCACAGUUAAGAAAUUUAAGGAAUUUUAAAUUUUGUAUAGAAAUUUAUUGAAACAUUAUAGUUGCACUUUAUGAUUACAGUAGUUAAUAAAUGCUGGUUUGCAGCAGUAAAUUUA